rnacentral:rRNA from 1 species
CCCUAUUAUUAGUAGUGUGAAGGGAUAGACUUAGGUAUUAAUUGGUGUUCAUGAAACCUAGAGAAUUUGGCGGUGCUUUAGUCUUUUUAGAGGAACCUGUCCUAUAAUCGAUAGUCCACGUUGUUAUUACCCAAUUUGGUUAUUAGUUUGUAUAUCGCCGUCAGAAGGGAAUUUUUUGAGGAUGAAUAAUUCUUUUAAUAUUGAGGGAUAGGAUGACAGGUCAAGGUGCAGCUGAUGAAUGGGGAGGAGAUGGGUUACAAUGCAUAAUAUGUAUAUGGAUUCUUACGUGGAGUGGGAUGAAGGUGGAUUUAAGAGUAAUUUUCAUGAACUGAGGGUGAAGGUGGCUCUAAGGCGUGCACAUAUC